CCGCUGAACUUAAGCAUAUUAAUAAGCGGAGGAAAAGAAACUAACAAGGAUUCCCCUAGUAACGGCGAGUGAAGCGGGAAGAGCUCAAGCUUAAAAUCUCCGUGCAAGUUUUGUGCGGCGAAUUGUAGUCUAUAGAGGCGUGGUCAGCGUGGGCGCUUGGGGCAAGUUCCUUGGAAGAGGACAGCAUGGAGGGUGAUACUCCCGUUCAUCCCUGAGUGGCUYGUGCGUACGACCCGUUUUCUUUGAGUCGCGUUGUUUGGGAAUGCAGCGCAAAGUAGGUGGUAAAUUCCAUCUAAAGCUAAAUAUUGGUGCGAGACCGAUAGCGAACAAGUACCGUGAGGGAAAGAUGAAAAGAACUUUGAAAAGAGAGUUAAAGAGUACCUGAAACUGCUGAAAGGGAACCGAAUCGUUUCCAGUGUCUAUAAUCCGUGACAUAUUUCAUUGGCGAGUGUGUGCGUGCGUGUGCUGUGGCAGUGGCUUUUUUGGCUGCGCUCGGUGUGUGUGCUGUGUGUGCUUGCUGGUGCCCUGUGCUGCGGUGGGACGUCAAGGUCAGUUCUUAUGCUGCGGGAAAUGGCUGCCGAGGAGGUAGGGCUUACGCUUGCGUUUGUCUGUUAUAUCUUGGUGGACGAGUAGUCGCGGUUGGGACUGAGGUGCCUACAACGUGCUUUUGAGUGGGUUUGUGUCUCCGUGUGCGCCGUGUGCGGAUAGCUUGCUAUGCGUGUGUGGUUGUGUGUGGAUUGAUGCGGGCUUUAACUUGUUGCCGUUCGGGACGUUGACGAAAUGGAGCGAUCCGACCCGUCUUGAAACACGGACCAAGGAGUCUAACAUGUGUGCAAGUGUUAGGGUGUGGAAACCCCAGCGCGAAAUGAAAGUAAAGGGCAGCGCAAGUUGUCUGAGGUAGGAAAUGUUGCGGGCUUCGGUCUGCGGCGUGGCACUAUCGACCGAUCAUGAACCUUCGUGGUGAAAGAUUUGAGUUUGAGCACAUAUGUUGGUACCCGAAAGAUGGUGAACUAUGCCUGAGUAGGGUGAAGCCAGGGGAAACUCUGGUGGAAGCUCGUAGCGAUUCUGACGUGCAAAUCGAUCGUCAAACUUGGGUAUAGGGGCGAAAGACUAAUCGAACCAUCUAGUAGCUGGUUCCCUCCGAAAUUUCCCUCAGGAUAGCAGCAACUUAUUUACGAUAGUUUUAUGAGGUAAAGCGAAUGAUUAGAGGAUUCGGGGAAGAAACUUCCUCGACCUAUUCUCAAACUUUAAAUCUGUAAGACCUGCAGGUUUCUUAAUUGAACUUGUGGAUGUGAAUAUCAAGUUGCUAGUGGGCCAUACGGGGUAAGCUCGUCUGGCG
rnacentral:rRNA from 1 species